ensembl:piRNA 21ur-11569 ncRNA
UGCUUCUCGGUAUGACUUUUU